GCAUAUAAGUAAGCGGAGGACAAGAAACUAAACAGGAUCCCCAUAGUAAUGGCGAAUGAACCGGGAUAAACUCAGCAUGGAAAUUGGGGCCUUUGGCUUUGACUUGUAAUCUGGUGAGGCAUUGCCAACAGAGGCGCAUAUGUAAGUCUCUUGGAAAAGAGCAUCAACGAAGGUGAGAGUCCUGAUUGUCAUGUGCAGCCCCCCUGUGCACGGUGUGCCUUCUAAGAGUCACGUUCCUUGGGAUUGGAGCGCAAAUUGGGUGGUAACUUUCAUCUGAAGUUAAACAAGGGUUUGGGACCGAUAGGAAACAAGUACCAUGAGGGAAAGGUGAAAAGGACUUUGGAAAGAGAGUUAAAAGUGCCUGAAAUUGCUGAAGGGGAAGCGAAUGGAACCAGUAGUGCUGGGUGAGAUUGUCACAUGCUACAAGGAUUGGUUGCUGCCACAACGCAAGUGUGAUGGCAAUUUGUGAAUUGCUAGUGUGUGGUGUGUCUUACCUAGUGGGUCAUUGUGGGUUUAUGCAUUAAGAUAAGUCAAAGCAAGCGGGAGCAAGUUUACGAGUUUGUGAAUGUGUGUUGUUAUGCUUGUGCGUAAGCUUUAAGGUUUGUCUGGCUGCAGGGCUGUCCAUCCUCGAGCUGAGGGUUGCGAUGAGCAUAACCUUCUGCGCAGAUCUUGACGAAAUGGUUUCAUUCGACCCGUCUGA
rnacentral:rRNA from 1 species